rnacentral:rRNA from 1 species
AUUGAACGCUGGCGGCAUGCUUUACACAUGCAAGUCGAACGGUAACAGGCCUUCGGGUGCUGACGAGUGGCGAACGGGUGAGUAAUGCAUCGGAACGUGCCCAGAGGUGGGGGAUAACGCAGCGAAAGCUGUGCUAAUACCGCAUGUGAUCUGAGGAUGAAAGCGGGGGACCAGGCAGCAAUGUUUGGCCUCGCGCCUUUGGAGCGGCCGAUGUCGGAUUAGGUAGUUGGUGGGGUAAAGGCCUACCAAGCCGACGAUCUGUAGCUGGUCUGAGAGGACGACCAGCCACACUGGGACUGAGACACGGCCCAGACUCCUACGGGAGGCAGCAGUGGGGAAUUUUGGACAAUGGGCGCAAGCCUGAUCCAGCAAUGCCGCGUGAGGGAAGAAGGCCUUCGGGUUGUAAACCGCUUUUGUACGGAACGAAAAGGCUCUGGCUAAUACCUGGGGCUGAUGACGGUACCGUAAGAAUAAGCACCGGCUAACUACGUG